UUUUUGAUAUAAAUAAAGCAACUGGUUUAGAAAUAAUUGACUUCAAGAACAGCAUUACGUCGGAAAUUCAUAAAAGCUAACCUCUCAAGUAGCUGGAGACAACUCCCUCUUGUGAAGAACCACAACCUGGAUAAGAAACACAAAAAGUUGAGCCUUGGAACCUAUCUAAAGGCUUUGAACAUUC